rnacentral:tRNA from 1 species
ACGGGUGUAGGCCAGUGGAAAGCCGACUGCCUUUGAAGCAGUAGAGCGAAGGUUCGAAUCCUUCCGCCCGUA